GAAAGUUUUUUUACAAGAAUAUAUUCAAAACUGUUUUUAUAAAAACAAAUGUAUAACUUUUAUGCCUAAAUAUGAUAAAGAAAUUUAUUUAUACAAAAAUCAAAAUUAUAAUGAUAGCAUACAAAGAUAUCAAAUAAUGAAUAAUAUUUUGGCUAAUCCUAUUUUUAUACAUAAUAAUGAUAACAUGAAUAUUGCCAAACAAAGUAUCAAUUACAGUCACUAUCAGAUUACUGAAAAUAAUAAAAUCGUACAGACAAGUGUUGAACAUAAUUUUAACAAUAAAAGCAUUAAAAAUGAUAAAAAAAAUAAUAACCAUGUAACUGGUGUAACUUGUGUAAAUAGUGUGGAUAUGCAUGACCUUGAUAUGGCACUCAUAAACGAUCGCUCUGACAAUACUACCCCUACCAAUCCUACUACAAAUAUGUACCCAAUUUAUAAACAAAACAAAGACAAACAAAACAAAGACAAACAAAACAAAGACAANNNNNNNNNNAAAAAAAACAAAAACAAUUAUAAACCUACUUAUCCUGUCAACAAAACAGAAGCAGAAAAAAAAACAUUUUCGAAUGCGAACCCCCUAAUAAUUAAAAAACUCUUUUUAACUAGAAAUGACAUAUAUGAUAGUGAUAAUAAUUCAACAGAAAAAAAAAAAAUAUAUUUAUUUAAAAUAAAACCUAUUCAGAAUAUGAACUAUUUUAUAUACGAACAGGAACUACUUUAUAAAGUUUGUGAAAAAAUUAAUAUUAUAAAAAAACAUAACACAAAAAUGAACAUGUUUAAUAGUAACACGAUUUAUACAAAUUUUGUAUGUACAUGUGAAGAAGGAAAGAAAGAAGAAGGAAAGAAAGAAGAAGGAAAGAAAGAAGAAGGAAAGAAAGAAGAAGGAAAGAAAGAAGAAGGAAAGAAAGAAGAAGGAAAGAAAGAAGAAGGAAAGAAAGAAGAAGGAAAAGAAAAAAAAAAAAAAAAAAAAAAAAAAAAAAAAAAAAAAAAAUUUGUUUCCAUAUGGAGGAUAUGUCUAUUCCAGAAGACAACAAAUUAAAAAGUAUAUCCACUAUUAUGGAUUUAAAAAAUAUGCAACAAAAUAAUACAAAUAUUGAUAACAAAAACAAUAAAUAUAAAACAUUAAUAAAUAAACA
rnacentral:lncRNA from 1 species